rnacentral:rRNA from 1 species
AGGAAUAUUGGUCAAUGGAGGAAACUCUGAACCAGCCAUCCCGCGUGUAGGAAGAAGGCCCUCUGGGUUGUAAACUACUUUUAUCUGGGAAGAAAAGCCUGUAUUUAUGCGGGUCUGACGGUACCAGAGGAAUAAGCACCGGCUAACUCCGUGCCAGCAGCCGCGGUAAUACGGAGGGUGCAAGCGUUAUCCGGAAUUACUGGGUUUAAAGGGUGCGUAGGCGGCGCAGUAAGUCAGGGGUGAAAGGUUCCGGCUCAACCGGAGAAUUGCCUUUGAAACUGCUGUGCUAGGAUUGGGUUGAGGUUGGCGGAAUGUGACAUGUAGCGGUGAAAUGCAUAGAUAUGUCAUAGAACACCGAUUGCGAAGGCAGCUAACUGGACCUUGAUUGACGCUGAGGCACGAAAGCGUGGGGAGCAAA